UACGGAGGGUGCAAGCGUUGUCCGGAUUUAUUGGGUUUAAAGGGUGCGUAGGCGGCUUUUUAAGUCAGUGGUGAAAUACAGCAGCUCAACUGUUGAGGUGCCAUUGAUACUGAAGAGCUUGAGUACAGAUGAGGUAGGCGGAAUUUAUGGUGUAGCGGUGAAAUGCAUAGAUACCAUAAAGAACACCGAUUGCGAAGGUAGCUUACUAAGCUGUAACUGACGCUGAGGCACGAAAGCGUGGGGAGCGAACAGG
rnacentral:rRNA from 1 species